UGGGGAAUAUUGCACAAUGGGCGAAAGCCUGAUGGAGCGACGCCGCGUGGGGGAUGAAUGGCUUCGGCCCGUAAACCCCUGUCAUUUGCGAGCAAAGCCUGCCCGAUAACACCGGGUAGGUUGAUCGUAGCGAAAGAGGAAGGGACGGCUAACUCUGUGCCAGCAGCCGCGGUAAUACAGAGGUCCCGAGCGUUGUUCGGAUUCACUGGGCGUAAAGGGUGCGUAGGUGGCGAGGUAAGUUCGGUGUGAAAUCUCCGGGCCUAACCCGGAAAUGGCAUUGAAUACUCUCUUGCUCGAGGUUUGGAGGGGGGACUGGAAUUCUCGGUGUAGCAGUGAAAUGCGUAGAUAUCGAGAGGAACACCCGUGGCGAAGGCGAGUCCCUGGACAACACCUGACACUGAGGCACGAAAGCUAGGGGAGCAAACA
rnacentral:rRNA from 1 species